rnacentral:rRNA from 1 species
CCUACGGGAGGCAGCAGUGAGGAAUAUUGGUCAAUGGGCGCGAGCCUGAACCAGCCAAGUAGCGUGAAGGAUGACUGCCCUAUGGGUUGUAAACUUCUUUUAUAAGGGAAUAAAAUGAGCCACGUGUGGCUUUUUGUAUGUACCUUAUGAAUAAGGAUCGGCUAACUCCGUGCCAGCAGCCGCGGUAAUACGGAGGAUCCGAGCGUUAUCCGGAUUUAUUGGGUUUAAAGGGAGCGUAGGUGGGUUGUUAAGUCAGUUGUGAAAGUUUGCGGCUCAACCGUAAAAUUGCAGUUGAAACUGGCAGUCUUGAGUACAGUAGAGGUAGGCGGAAUGCGUGGUGUAGCGGUGAAAUGCUUAGAUAUCACGAAGAACUCCGAUUGCGAAGGCAGCUUACUAGACUGCAACUGACACUGAUGCUCGAAAGUGUGGGUAUCAAACAGGAUUAGAUACCCGAGUAGUC